UUAAGUUCAGCGGGUAACCCUACCUGAUUUGAUGCAGAAUUUCUGAGGGGAAAAAUCCCACACAAUAAAGAUCUACAGAGAGCAGGUCCGUACCCAAAUGUCCGUCCCUCGGUUGAUCAUCAAAUGCUCCCGAGUUAUCUGAUGGUGUGUUAUACUAUCAGUUCACUUGGGAGGUGUAACAUUUGACGCCGGUGGACUAA
rnacentral:misc_RNA from 1 species